CCUACGGGUGGCUGCAGUGGGGAAUCUUGCACAAUGGGGGAAACCCUGAUGCAGCGACGCCGCGUGCGUGAAGAAGUAUCUCGGUACGUAAAGCUCUAUCAUCAGGGAAGAAAAUGACUGUACCUGACUAAUAAGCACCGGCUAACUACGUGCCAGCAGCCGCGGUAAUACGUAGGGGGCAAGCGUUAUCCGGAUUUACUGGAGGUAAAGGGAGCGUAGACGGCAGCGAAAGUCUGGAGUGAAAUGCCGGGGCCCAAACCCGGAACUGCUUUGGAAACUGUGCAGCUAGAGUGCAGGGGAGGUAAGCGGAAUUGCUAGUGUAGCGGUGAAAUGCGUAGAUAUUAGGAGGAACACCAGUGGCGAAGGCGGCUUACUGGACUGUAACUGACGUUGAGGCUCGAAAGCGUGGGGAGCAAACAGGAUUAGAUACCCCAGUAGUC
rnacentral:rRNA from 1 species